UACCGUGAAAAAAUUAGAGUGUUCAAAGCAGGCAGAUAUUCUUUUACUGCCACCGAAUACAUUAGCAUGGGAUAAUGGAAUAGGACCCUGUCCUUCAUGUUUCGCGUUGGUUGUGUGUUAAGCGCGUGCGCAAGCGCGUGGCUGGCACAUGGUUUCGUCUGAAGGAGGACCAGGGUAAUGAUUAAUAGGGAUAGUUGGGGGCAUUAAUAUUUAAUUGUCAGAGGUGAAAUUCUUGGAUUUAUGAAAGAUUAACUUCUGCGAAAGCAUCUGCCAAGGAUGUUUUCAUUAAUCAAGAACGAAAGUUAGGGGAUCGAAGACGAUUAGAUACCGUCGUAGUCUUAACCAUAAACCAUGCCGACCAGCGAUUGGGAGACGUUUCACACGGAAGUGGUGCCAGGAGGCGCCCCGCUUUGCCCCGUAAAAAAGGGCCGAGCAGGCGCCUCUCUUGGGCUGCUUCCACUAAAGGAUGACUCCCUAGCA
rnacentral:rRNA from 1 species